GUUGCUUCUUAAUAUUGAAAGUGACCAUGAUAUGAUCUGUUAUUCUUGGUCUUAUACAAUUAGAAGCAUAAAUCAAGCAAAACCAGUUUAUAACAGCAUAAUGUUCCCUUAUGUCAUUGUGUUACCUGUCUGCUGGUACAUUC
rfam:Daucus carota subsp. sativus cultivar DH1 chromosome 1, whole genome shotgun sequence.